GAUGAACGCUGGCGGCGUGCCUAAUACAUGCAAGUCGAGCGAACAGACGAGGAGCUUGCUCCUCUGACGUUAGCGGCGGACGGGUGAGUAACACGUGGAUAACCUACCUAUAAGACUGGGAUAACUUCGGGAAACCGGAGCUAAUACCGGAUAAUAUAUUGAACCGCAUGGUUCAAUAGUGAAAGACGGUUUUGCUGUCACUUAUAGAUGGAUCCGCGCCGCAUUAGCUAGUUGGUAAGGUAACGGCUUACCAAGGCGACGAUGCGUAGCCGACCUGAGAGGGUGAUCGGCCACACUGGAACUGAGACACGGUCCAGACUCCUACGGGAGGCAGCAGUAGGGAAUCUUCCGCAAUGGGCGAAAGCCUGACGGAGCAACGCCGCGUGAGUGAUGAAGGUCUUCGGAUCGUAAAACUCUGUUAUUAGGGAAGAACAAAUGUGUAGUAACUAUGCUCGUCUUGACGGUACCUAAUCAGAAAGCCACGGCUAACUACGUG
rnacentral:rRNA from 1 species